rnacentral:rRNA from 1 species
UACGAAGGGUGCAAACGUUGUUCGGAAUUACUGGGCGUAAAGCGAGUGUAGGCGGUUUGGUAAGUCGGAUGUGAAAGCCCCGGGCUCAACCCGGGAAGUGCACUCGAUACUGCCAAGCUAGAGUAUCGGAGAGGUUGGUGGAAUUCUCGGUGUAGAGGUGAAAUUCGUAGAUAUCGAGAGGAACACCGGUGGCGAAGGCGGCCAACUGGACGAAUACUGACGCUGAGACUCGAAAGCGUGGGGAGCAAACAGG